rnacentral:rRNA from 1 species
UGGGGAAUAUUGGACAAUGGGCGCAAGCCUGAUCCAGCCAUACCGCGUGGGUGAAGAAGGCCUUCGGGUUGUAAAGCCCUUUUGUUGGGAAAGAAAUCCAGCUGGUUAAUACCCGGUUGGGAUGACGGUACCCAAAGAAUAAGCACCGGCUAACUUCGUGCCAGCAGCCGCGGUAAUACGAAGGGUGCAAGCGUUACUCGGAAUUACUGGGCGUAAAGCGUGCGUAGGUGGUCGUUUAAGUCUGUUGUGAAAGCCCUGGGCUCAACCUGGGAACUGCAGUGGAAACUGGACGACUAGAGUGUGGUAGAGGGUAGCGGAAUUCCUGGUGUAGCAGUGAAAUGCGUAGAGAUCAGGAGGAACAUCCAUGGCGAAGGCAGCUACCUGGACCAACACUGACACUGAGGCACGAAAGCGUGGGGAGCAAACAGGAUUAGAUACCCUGGUAGUCCACGCCCUAAACGAUGCGAACUGGAUGUUGGGUGCAAUUUGGCACGCAGUAUCGAAGCUAACGCGUUAAGUUCGCCGCCUGGGGAGUACGGUCGCAAGACUGAAACUCAAAUGAAUUGAC